GACGUAGGGGGCAAGCGUUGUCCGGAAUCACUGGGCGUAAAGGGCGCGUAGGCGGCCAUUCAAGUCGGGGGUGAAAGCCUGUGGCUCAACCACAGAAUUGCCUUCGAUACUGUUUGGCUUGAGUAUGGUAGAGGUUGGUGGAACUGCGAGUGUAGAGGUGAAAUUCGUAGAUAUUCGCAAGAACACCGGUGGCGAAGGCGGCCAACUGGACCAUUACUGACGCUGAGGCGCGAAAGCGUGGGGAGCAAACAGG
rnacentral:rRNA from 1 species